CCUGGCCUUUAUACGACGCCGAUUUCCGCUCCACCUUCAGCUGCUCGAUCAAAGUCUCUCGUGAAGCCCCGCUCCUGGUAAAAGCUGCAACCAGCUCAGGAUACAACUGUGCUAUUAAUCCCUUGAAUUUAUCCGAUACUUCAACAAUCGGGGAGCUCGACGAUGACCCAUCAGUUGGGCAGUAUCCAACUCUAGCUCGACCACUUGUGUAAGC
rnacentral:misc_RNA from 1 species